AUGGAUGAGGUAGACUUCCUGGUGGGAAUAGGCAUGAAGGAGGAGGAUAUUGCAACAAUGCUGUUUGGAGAGAAAGUUGCUGAGCUGAGAGAAGACACAUUUGAUGGUUCUGAGCAGGAAAAACAAAUCCUUGAGGGCAUUUUUGGCAGCGGACAGACCACUUCGCUACCAGGCGCAAUCAAAGCAUUGGUACCAGCUAGCACACCAUCCAGCUCUGCAUCCAGCAACAGGAUGGUCUACUGCCGCAUAGUCGAGUCCUUUACUCACGGCAGCCUAUCAAGCUAUCAUGUCUUAUAUCAUAGUGCUAGUCAACAGAUGCAGAAUGCAAUGCUUUGUACAGAUCAUCAUGGCAGGCCUUCUGAAUGUGAACUCGUGGUACAAGAGACGCCACCUUCCGGUGAUCGGGUGUACACUCGCAGGGCUGUGAUACGCAGGAGCCAGAGAGCAAAACAAUGCAGUAUUCUGGAUUGGGAGAGAGUUGACAUUAACAGUGUGGUCGCACAGCGACGGGAUGGCCGUGGUGGCUUUGGAAUGCUCUGGAACCAUCUCCGGCUGCACGCACAUCUUCUGAUAAUGGACGCCGGGUGGAAGAUCGAGGGCAAGGAAAGGGGGGACAAGAGUAAGGUCGACCUCAUGUUCGAGUCGCCUGACAAAGAAAUCCGCCUAGCUUCUCUUCCUAAGGCUUGGAAAUGCUUUGGCCAGUGGUUGCUUAUUCAUUCGCCCCGAUUUGAUGGGAAUUACUAUGGAAAGGAAUGGUUCAACAUGUAUGAAUUUUGUUAUGAUUUGAAGAACACACUGUUAUGCUUAGAGCACGAGGUCCGGCGCCCGAAGCAAUCUCUAUCCUUCCUCCACCAGUGGCAGCUCCUCGAUCCUUUCAUGGCAGUAGUUUGCAUCGAUAAGAAGGUCGCAGCUCUGCGGAACGGAGUGGCACUGAAAGCUGUGAACAGCAGAGUUACAAUCCUCAAUUGCAGCGACAUUAAGCUGUUGAGUCGCUUGAGUCGCAGGAAUGUUAACAAGCCAGUUGCAAUUAAGUAUUCAAGCAACUAUAACGGCACACAUCCCAAGUCACGGAGAAGUCUUCUGCCGCUUCUUCUAUCUGAUGGCCAGCCUCACAAAGAGGAAAAUUCUCUGCACAAUGAGCAGUCUUUUAUAUUUGGAACAAGCAAGCAUAGCCAAUAUGAAGUGCAGCAAAGGUACUUGACCAUGGAAGAAAUGAAUGAAAGAAGCGUCAGAAAUAUUCCUCAUCGUAUAGUGAAAGGUUUCCAAGAUUCAACAGAGCCCAGCUCAAUGCCUAAUUGCUUUAGUACAAAAGGAGAAUUUCCAUACUCUAAAAUGGUUCAGGAUAUUCGAGAUGAGUCCGACCCACUAUAUUUCCCGCCUAGUUAUGCUUCAGAUCACCUGGUUGAAAAUGUGCAAAUCAAGGGUCCAAGUUCUCAUGCCGGUGAAGCGAUGGAAAUCGCCGCCGAUAUGGGUAACUCUGCAGACAGUCCUUCUGACGAGUUGCUCAUAAGACCAGACCUGCUGUUUUCUCACGAGGUGGAUGAGAUGAUCCUUGGAACGACAGAUGCUGUCAGCAGUGAACAUCAUGCUGCUGCAGUUGUCUCUGAUUACCAAGCAGGAAAUGAGGAUGUAAGGGGUGGACCUUCGUCUGGUACAUCAUCACUACUAGAAGAAAAGGAUGCACGCUUAGAAGCUAUCAGAGACGAUGUCAACAAUGAACAUGAUGUUGUUGUAACUGGAUUCCAAGCGGGAAAUGUACAUGUGAGGGAUGAACCUUCAGCUGGUGCAUUGUCUCUGUUAGCAGAAAAGGAUACACCCUUAGACGUUAUCAGAGAUGAUAUCAACAAUGAACACGAUGUUGUCGUUGUACCUGGAUUCCAAGUGGGAAAUGAUGAUGUAAGGGGUGGACCUUCCUCUGGUACACUGUCACUAUUAAAAGAGAAGGGUACAAACUUGGAAGCUAAAGACAUGAGCUUGGAACAGAUGACAAAAACAGGAUGGGUACCAUCUGGAGCCACUGGUGGCCCAUUGAAGAUCUCCGAACCACAAGUACUGUUUGUGUCCCCGCAAGACGGGAGACUCUCUUUCAUGAACAACAGUACAUUUAAUCAAGAGACGUUGAGUUGUCUUAAUUUUUCCCAUGAUAGCAUGGGGGCAAACAUGCAGCUGGACAUCCAGACAUCUGCCUAUGAAGCGAGCUUGAUUCAGGGAUUUUUAUAUCUUGAUAGUGAGGGUUCUCCAAUUGGUUGGGAAGUCACAAACCCAGAACCUCCUAACCAGUUGAUCUGUGGCCCUUCUUCUGAACCAAACUCAAAGGUGUCUGGACAUUGUGGUGAGCUGAACAUGCAGAAUGAAGCACGAACAUCUGAACAAAGGGAGAUAUCAGAGUCUGAUCCAAGUAAAAAUGGUCAAAAAAGGUCUGAGAAGGUUGCAGGUAUCAAUGAUGUCCGUAGAAAGAAACAGAGAGUAAAUAGUGUUCAUGCAAGUCAUUGUGCAAUUGGUAAGAAUAUGGACAUUACAACUGAGGUUCCAGCUAGCUGUGUAGUUCACAAUGGGAAAGAACAGAUAGGUGCAACAAGCAGUGAGCAUGCUUCUUCGAAUCAAAAAAGGUCACAGGAGGCUGCAGAUAUCCAAGACGAAGUUCGUGAAAAGAAACAGAAAGUAAAUGAUGGUCUUAUAAGCGACUCCAUAAUUGGUCAAUGCAUGGAUAGUAGUACAGCUGAGAAUCCUACUAGGUGUGUGACACGUUGUGAGGAAGUACAGAUAAGUGCAUCAAGUAGUGAGCAGGUCCCUUUGACUCUAGUGCCCCAAAUUAAAGAGCACAAGGAACAAGCUGAAGAUAGCAGUGAACCCCCAAAACAGCUCGUGUCAGAACAACCACCCAAAAAGGAUGUCAAAUUUCGAAAGAAACAACCAUGGAGGCGUAAAUGCAGGUUUGACGAGGAUGAUCUUUUGAUGACAGCUGUAAUACAUAGGCUGACCGCGCGUUACAGGAACCAUUAUAAUCGAAUGCUCAUAAAUAGAAUUGGCUUGAAAUCUCUUCCGAGGUCUCGCCUGGAGAAUGAAAAAAAAUGCGGCCGGCAGAAGUUCCCUAAAAGUGCAAGAACGGUGUUGAGCAAAUUACUUGAGAUGGGCAUUGUUUGUACAAUGAAUAUUCUCCAGUAUAGAAGGCCAGGACCUAAGAACGUGUUGAAAGAUGGGAACAUAACCGAGCAUGGCAUAAGGUGCCGGUGUUGUGACACCAUAUUUACAAUGUCCAACUUUAGGUGCCAUGCAGGUCUCAAACAAGAAACUCUGACCCUGAAUCUUUUCUUGGGUUCUGGUAAAUCUUACAGCCUAUGUCAGCUUCAAGCGUGGUUUAUAGAGCAGAAGAAGAGGAAAGAAAGUGCAAAAGAUACUAUGUCAGUACAAGCAGAUGAAAAUGAUGACACUUGUGGAUUAUGUGGUGAUGUCGGUGAACUAAUAUGCUGUGACAACUGCCCUGCUAGUUACCAUCAGGCCUGCUUGCCUUGUCAGGGAUCCAUGACUUGCUUCUCAUGGAAGCUCAUAUGGAAGAAUUGGGCGCCGCCAAGAGUGAAGUUUUUUCACUGGUUGGCCAGCCAAGACCGGUGCUGGACGGCCGACCGCUUGGCUCGACGCGGUCUCCAGCACCAGCCAAGAUGCCCACUCUGUGACCAGGCUCCCGAGACGAUGCGCCACCUCCUCUUGGAGUGCCCCUUCGCCAGGCAGACUUGGCACGAAAUCCUGUCCUGGCUAUGGAUGACCACUGCAGGGCCAAGCCACGAAGAUUCACUGAUGGACUGGUGGCUGCAGGCAAGGCAAAACACGCCAACACUGAUGCAUGGCAGCUGGUAUUGCUCUAGUUGCCUGUGCAAUGUUUGUGGGGAAGUGGUCAAUUCAAAGGCGCCAGGAGGUCUCCUACAUGCUUUAGAAUGCUCACAGUGUGAAUAUCGAUAUCACGUAAAAUGCAUAUCUGGUAAAGUUGUGUGUGAUCAGAGAAGUGGACUUGGUACUUGGUUUUGUGAAAGAAGGUGCCAGCAGAUUUAUACGAGCAUGCGUUCUCGUGUUGGAAUGCCUGACCACCUCGAUGAUGGCUUUUCUUGCACCAUACUUCGUAAUAAUGAUGAUCAAAAGGUUCACUCGGCUUCAGACAUUGCUCUCCUGGCUGAGUGCAGCAUGAAAUUAAUUAUUGCUUUGAGUAUUUUGGAAGAAUGCUUCUUGCCCAUCUUCGACCCGAGGACAGGGGUAGACAUAAUGCCCCCUAUUGUGUAUAACUGGAGGUCGGACUUUGUACAUUUGGAUUACAAGGGGUUCUAUACUGUAGUCCUGGAAAAGGAUGACAACCUCCUUUCCGUGGCAUCCAUCAGGUUACAUGGCACAACUGUAGCAGAGAUGCCGCUAAUAGCUACUUGUUCUGAGAAUCGGCAACAGGGGAUGUGCAGGCAACUGGUGGAUUACAUUGAGGAGAUGCUGAAAUCACUGGAGGUGGAAAUGCUGCUUUUGUUCGCAAUUCCAAACCUAGUCGAUACAUGGACAUCAGCAUUCGGGUUCAGGCCGAUCGAAGACUGUGACAAGAAGAAGCUGAGCAAGGUCAGGCUGGUCUCGAUCCCUGGAACUGUUCUACUGAAGAAGGAUCUGUAUGAAAGAAGUUCAGAAACAGAGGCGGGUGAGCUGCGAACCGAACAGCAGCAGCCAUUGGAGGACACCGGACCGGUUUGCACAACGGAGACCAACCUCGCCGACGAACUAGGAGGCUCGGAGACCAACCCGCCCCUCGCCGAUCCUCCGUCUGCUGCUGCUCUCGGGAAAUGUCAUGUAGAUUAG
rnacentral:rRNA from 1 species